rnacentral:rRNA from 1 species
UACGAAGGGGGCUAGCGUUGUUCGGAUUUACUGGGCGUAAAGCGCGUGUAGGCGGAUCGUUAAGUCGGGGGUGAAAGCCCAGAGCUCAACUCUGGAAUUGCCUUCGAUACUGGCGGUCUGGAGCAGAGAAGAGGCGAGUGGAAUUCCGAGUGUAGAGGUGAAAUUCGUAGAUAUUCGGAGGAACACCAGUGGCGAAGGCGGCUCGCUGGUCUCUUGCUGACGCUGAGACGCGAAAGCGUGGGGAGCAAACAGG